AGCAGCCGCGGUAAUUCCAGCUCCAAUAGCGUAUAUUAAAGUUGUUGCAGUUAAAAAGCUCGUAGUUGAAUUUCGGGAUCAAUAUGUCGGUCGUGCUUUUUGGUACGUACUGGCGUCAUUGGUUUCUCCUUUCUGACGAGCCAUGAUGUCAUUAGUUUGGUGUUAUGGGGAGUUAGGACUGUUACUUUGAAAAAAUUAGAGUGUUUAAAGCAGGCAUUAGCUUGAAUACAUUAGCAUGGAAUAAUGAAAUAGGACGUUCGAUCCUAUUUUGUUGGUUUCUAGGAUCAACGUAAUGAUUAAUAGGGAUAGUUGGGGGCAUUAGUAUUCAAUUGUCAGAGGUGAAAUUCUUGGAUUUAUUGAAGACUAACUACUGCGAAAGCAUUUGCCAAGGAUGUUUUCAUUAAUCAAGAACGAAAGUUAGGGGAUCGAAGACGAUCAGAUACCGUCGUAGUCUUAACCAUAAACUAUGCCGACUAGGGAUCGGAUGAUGUUAAUUUUUAAUG
rnacentral:rRNA from 1 species